GACGAACGCUGGCGGCGUGCAUAACACAUGCAAGUCAAGGGGGUCGAGUAGCAAUACUGGCAACCGGCGAACGGGUGCGUAACACGUAAGCGACCUACCUCAAUGUGGGGCGAUAGCCGGCCUAACGGCCGGGUAAUUCCGCAUGUGAUCUUGGAGGGGCAUCUCUCCGGGAUGAAACCAGUAAUGGGCAUUGAGAGGGGCUUGCGGCCUAUCAGCUUGUUGGUGAGGUAACGGCUCACCAAGGCUACGACGGGUAGCUGGUCUGAGAGGACGACCAGUCACACUGGAACUGAGACACGGUCCAGACACCUACGGGUGGCAGCAGUCGAGAAUUUUGACAAUGGGGGAAACCCUGAUCGAGCGACGCCGCGUGGAGGAUGAAGGUC
rnacentral:rRNA from 1 species